rnacentral:rRNA from 1 species
GACAGAGGAUGCAAGCGUUAUCCGGAAUGAUUGGGCGUAAAGCGUCUGUAGGUGGCUUUUUUUAAGUCUGCCGUCAAAUCCCAGGGCUUAACCCUGGACAGGCGGUGGAAACUACCAAGCUGGAGUACGGUAGGGGCAGGGGGAAUUUCCGGUGGAGCGGUGAAAUGCGUAGAGAUCGGAAAGAACACCAACGGCGAAAGCACUCUGCUGGGCCGACACUGACACUGAGAGACGAAAGCUAGGGGAGCGAAUGGG